UUGGAGGGCAAGUCUGGUGCCAGCAGCCGCGGUAAUUCCAGCUCCAAUAGCGUAUAUUAAAGUUGUUGCAGUUAAAAAGCUCGUAGUUGAAUUUCGGGGUUCUACCGUUGGUCGGGCUUUGUCUGUACUGGUGUGUAGAAUUUCUACCUUCUGGGGAACCAUCAUGCUAUUAAUUUAGCGUGGUGGGAAACCAGGACCUUUACCUUGAAAAAAUUAGUGUGUUCAAAGCAGGCUCAUGUCUGAAUACAUUAGCGUGGAAUAAUAGAAUAGGACGGUGGUCCUGUUUUGUUGGUUUCUGAAUCACCGUAAUGAUUAAUAGGGAUAGUUGGGGGCAUUAGUAUUCAAUUGUCAGAGGUGAAAUUCUUGGAUUUAUUGAAGACUAACUUCUGCGAAAGCAUUUGCCAAGGAUGUUUUCAUUAAUCAAGAACGAAAGUUAGGGGAUCGAAGACGAUCAGAUACCGUCGUAGUCUUAACCAUAAACUAUGCCGACUAGGGAUCGGACGAUGUUAAUUUUUCUUGACUCGUUCGGCGCCUUACGGGAAAC
rnacentral:rRNA from 1 species